ACGAUCAUGGCUCAGAUUGAACGCUGGCGGGAUGCUUUACACAUGCAAGUCGAACGGCAGCACGGACUUCGGUCUGGUGGCGAGUGGCGAACAGGUGAGUAAUGUAUCGGAACGUGCCUAGUAGCGGGGGAUAACUGCAUGGCCCGUAGCUAAUACCACAUACGCCCUUCGGGGAAAGCGGGGACCUUCGGGCCUCGCACUAUUAGAGCGGCCGAUAUCGGAUUAGCUAGUUGGUGGGGUAACGGCUCACCAAGGCGACGAUCCGUAGCUGGUUUGAAGGACAGCCAGCCACACUGGGACUGAGACACGGCCCAGACUCCUACGGGGAGGCAGCAGUGGGGAAUUUUGGACAAUGGAAACUGAUCCAGCCAUCCCGCGUGUGCGAUGAAGGCCUUCGGGUUGUAAAGCACUUUUUUGGCAGGAAAGAAACGGCACGGGAUAAUACCCCGUGCAACUGACGGUACCUGCAGAAUAAGCACCGGCUAACUACGUGCCAGCAGCCGCGGUAAUACGUAGGGUGCAAGCGUUAAUCAGGAAUUACUGGGCGUAAAGCGUGCGCAGGCGGUUCGGAAAGAAAGAUGUGAAAUCCCAGAGCUUAACUUUGGAACUGCAUUUUUAACUACCGAGCUAGAGUGUGUCAGGGAGGUGGAAUUCCGCGUGUAGCAGUGAAAUGCGUAGAUGUGCGGAGGAACACCGAUGGCAGAAGGCAGCCUCCUGGAUAACACUGACGCUCAUGCGAAAGCGUGGGGAGCAAACAGAGUUAGAUACCCUGGUAGUCCACGCCCUAAACGAUGUCAACUAGCUGUUGGGGCCUUCGGGCCUUGGUAGCGCAGCUAACGCGUGAAGUUGACCGCCUGGGAGAGUACGGUCGCAAGAUUAAAGCUCAAAGGAAUUGACGGGGACCCGCACAAGCGGUGGAUGAUGUGGAUUAAUUCGAUGCAACGCGAAAACCUUACCUACCCUUGACAUGUCUGGAAUCCCGAAGAGAUUUGGGAGUGCUCGCAAGAGAACCGGAACACAGGUGCUGCAUGGCUGUCGUCAGCUCGUGUCGUGGAUGUUGGGUUAAGUCCCACCAGCAGGCGCAACCCUUGUCAUUAGUUGCUACGAAGGGCACUCUAAUGAGACUGCCGGUGACAAACCGGAGGAAGGUGGGGAUGACGUCAAGUCCCUCCCGCCAGCCCCCUUAUGGGUAGGGCUUCACACGUCAUACAAUGGUCGGGACAGAGGGUCGCCAACCCGCGAGGGGUAAUCCCAGAAACCCGAUCGUAGUCGGAUCGCAGUCUGCAACUCGACUGCGUGAAGUCAGGAAUCGCUAGUAAUCGCGGAUCAGCAUGUCGCGGUGAAUACGUUCGGGUCUUGUACACACCGUCACACCAUGGGAGUGGGUUUUUCAAGUAGUUAGCUAACCGUAAGGAGGGCGAUUACCACGGUAAGUUCAUGACUGGGGUGAAGUCGUAACAAAGGUAA
rnacentral:rRNA from 1 species